AAGUCACAGAGUUUUGGCCAACUUGCACAAAAUAGGUGUUAGGACAAAACUUUUCUAAGGCCUGUGUAUGCCAUAAGUGCCUUCAGAGAAUUAAUAUAUGUAAAUAUUUGAUAGUGCCUCCUUCUGAGACAGCUCUUUUUGCUUGCUAUGUUAGGCAGACCAAUGUAUUUCUCUAGUAUGGUAAUUAUUGUUACUAAUGAGCCUAAACAAAGGAAUGCCCAGCGGCAUGGAGUAUGGUGUGUAGUCUCUCAUCUUGCUGUUCGUAUUUAUUUCUGUAUACAUAUCCUUGAAGUUAGAACACAACAUAUACUAUAUAGCAAGCCAGUGUGCGUAACUCAGUGCUGCCCCAAAAGAGUGAAGAGUGCAGCUGAGGCAUUACUUGCACGGCAGUUCUCACCCAGCUGUCUCAGCCACAACUGACUGUUUUUGCCAUAAAUAUGUAUUUUGGGGGCCACUCAGCUGUACUUUAUACCUAGUGAAAAAAGAAGAGUUCCCUCAGUGGGAGUUUAGUGCUCAUGCUUGUGCUGGUGCAGUGUCAGUUUAAGUCAGGUCUGAAAAUUAACUCAGCAAUACCACCCCAGCAGGAAGGGUGUCUGAAAGCCCAGAGCUUCAUGGGCUGACCUAAGCCAUCCUUGGAGGCAAUCUUUGGUUUCACGGCAUGAUGCCUGGGGAGUACAUAUACUCAAGUGGACUGGACAAGUUUGCAGCUUCCUACAACUCACUAUACUUUCAGUGAAGUACUACAGGAGCCCUUGUCAUCUGCCCGUGAGGGGCUCAGAAACAUUCCUGUGCACUGGAGAAGGAUCCUGAGUUUUGUUAGUCUCAGCCCGGCCCUGACAGACGAACCUCUCAUCCCAGCCACAGAUUUCUCACAUUGAUGGUCCAUUGAGUUAGUGAUGCUUGUGCAAUUCCGGAUGAGAGCUCCCAGUGCUCACGUGGUAUCAUUUCUUCCUGAUUAAGCAGAACAA